rnacentral:rRNA from 1 species
GAUGAACGCUAGCGGCAGGCUUAACACAUGCAAGUCGAAGGGUAUAGUUCUUCGGAGCUAGAGACCGGCGCACGGGUGCGUAACGCGUAUGCAAUCUACCUUUUGCAGAGGGAUAGCCCAGAGAAAUUUGGAUUAAUACCUCAUGGUAUGUGAGAAUGGCAUCAUUUUCACAUUAAAGUCACAACGGCAAAAGAUGAGCAUGCGUCCCAUUAGCUAGUUUGUAAGGUAACGGCUUACCAAGGCAACGAUGGGUAGGGGUCCUGAGAGGGACAUCCCCCACACCGGACCUGAGAAACGGACCAGACUACUACUGGAGGCAGCAGGGAGGAAUAUUGGACAAUGGGCGCAAGCCUGUUCCAGCCAUGCAGCGUGCAGGAUGACGGUCCUAUGGAUUGUAAACUGCUUUUGUACAGGAAGAAACACUGGUUCGUGAACCAGCUUGACGGUACUGUAAGAAUAAGGAGCGGCUAACUCCGUGCCAGCCGCCGCCGUAACAC